rnacentral:rRNA from 1 species
UACGUAGGGUGCGAGCGUUGUCCGGAAUUAUUGGGCGUAAAGAGCUUGUAGGCGGUCUGUCGCGUCUGCUGUGAAAAUCCGGGGCUCAACCCCGGACUUGCAGUGGGUACGGGCAGACUAGAGUGUGGUAGGGGGAGACUGGAAUUCCUGGUGUAGCGGUGAAAUGCGCAGAUAUCAGGAGGAACACCGAUGGCGAAGGCAGGUCUCUGGGCCACUACUGACGCUGGAGAAGCGAAAAGCAUGGGGGAGCGAACAGG